rnacentral:rRNA from 1 species
GAUGAGCGCUGGCGGCGUGCCUAAUACAUGCAAGUCGAGCGAACAGACGAGGAGCUUGCUCCUCUGACGUUAGCGGCGGACGGGUGAGUAACACGUGGAUAACCUACCUAUAAGACUGGGAUAACUUCGGGAAACCGGAGCUAAUACCGGAUAAUAUAUUGAACCGCAUGGUUCAAUAGUGAAAGACGGUUUUGCUGUCACUUAUAGAUGGAUCCGCGCCGCAUUAGCUAGUCGGUAAGGUAACGGCUUACCAAGGCAACGAUGCGUAGCCGACCUGAGAGGGUGAUCGGCCACACUGGAACUGAGACACGGUCCAGACUCCUACGGGAGGCAGCAGUAGGGAAUCUUCCGCAAUGGGCGAAAGCCUGACGGAGCAACGCCGCGUGAGUGAUGAAGGUCUUCGGAUCGUAAAACUCUGUUAUUAGGGAAGAACAAAUGUGUAAGUAACUAUGCACGUCUUGACGGUACCUAAUCAGAAAGCCACGGCUAACUACGUG